GCCUGCAGCCAUAGUACCCCAGACUAUGAUGCUGUCAGAUCUCAUAAGCUAAACAGGCUGAGGCAUGGUCAGUACUUGGAUGGAUUAUCGCCAAAGAAAACUCUGGUAGUACAGGAA
ensembl:rRNA 5S_rRNA 5S ribosomal RNA